rnacentral:rRNA from 1 species
AGAGUUUGAUCAUGGCUCAGAAUGAACGCUGGCGGCGUGCUUAACACAUGCAAGUCGAACGAGAAAGGGAUUGCUUGCAAUCCUGAGUAGAGUGGCGCACGGGUGAGUAACACGUAGAUAAUCUACCUUCGAUUUUGGGAUAACCAUCCGAAAGGAUGGCUAAUACCGGAUAAGGUUUUAAUACGCAAGCAUAGAGAUGAAAGUAUGCCUCUUCUUGAAAGCAUAUGAUUGGAGAUGAGUCUGCGGACCAUUAGCUAGUUGGUGGGGUAAGAGCCUACCAAGGCAACGAUGGUUAGCUGGUCUGAGAGGAUGAUCAGUCACACUGGAACUGGAACACGGUCCAGACUCCUACGGGAGGCAGCAGUGAGGAAUUUUGCGCAAUGGGGGAAACCCUGACGCAGCAACGCCGCGUGAGUGAAGGAGGCCUUUGGGUCGUAAAGCUCUGUUAACUGGGAAGAAAUUACAACGAUCCAAUAGGUGGUUGUAUUGACG